CAAGCUUUCUUUAAUAUUUAGUAAAAAGUAUAGAAGCACUUAAUAUAUCUACAUACGUGUAGAUUUACCCGCCUCGUUUAAUUCAUUUCGUUUAUUUUAUUUAGAAAUAAAUUUAACUGAAAAUGUGAAUCAACUAGAAUUCGAACUUGAGACCUCAGUUAACAACCACCAAGUCCUUUGCCACUUGCUUUAGAGACGGUCAGUAUUUUUCUUAUUAAUGUUGGAAAAUUAAAUUCUACGUUAGUUAAAAAGAUUGUAAUGCAUCUGCAGCGGAGGAUGAGAAGCGCCGUUAGGGCUAAGAGGCAGAGAGAAAAUUCAGAUCCAACGAACACCGGAUGCGCCACUUGCUUUAGAGACGGUCAGUAUUUUUCUUAUUAAUGUUGGAAAAUUAAAUUCUACGUUAGUUAAAAAGAUUGUAACGCAUCU
rnacentral:lncRNA from 1 species